rnacentral:rRNA from 1 species
UACGGAGGGUGCAAGCGUUAUCCGGAUUCACUGGGUUUAAAGGGUGCGUAGGAGGGCAGGUAAGUCAGUGGUGAAAUCUCCAAGCUUAACUUGGAAACUGCCGUUGAUACUAUCUGUCUUGAAUAUUGUGGAGGUGAGCGGAAUAUGUCAUGUAGCGGUGAAAUGCUUAGAUAUGACAUAGAGCACCAAUUGCGAAGGCAGCUCGCUACUCAAUUAUUGACUCUGAGGCACGAAAGCGUGGGGAUCAAACAGG